GGGGCUGCUGGAGUGUCCUCCACCUGAAAGCCUGCAAAGAGAGGCUCACUGGCUCUCCCUUGUGUGAAAUGAAAGGCUACAUCGCUGUUUUUCGGAUCCUGUGGGAUAAAGCAGCAUGUGGUCCUGGUGAUUUGAAUCCUGUAAAACCGCCCCGGGUAUAUUGAAACAUCUGUCAGCGUAGAUCUGGACAAUGGGAGACUGGGUGCAGCUGUGGACCUCUUCACCUCAGCCUGGCACUCGAGGUCUGCACCCCUGCAUGACGAACAAUGGAGGUAUUAGAAGGCCCUGUUAAGCUGCAGCCCUCUUCAAACAGGCAGCCAGCAUGGUACCAGAUCCAAGCCCUCAGCAGCUGUGCUAACCCCCAUUCACUUCACUGACAGAAAUCCCUGCUCUCCAUCCCAAAGACUGCUUAAUGCAGGGCUCUCUCAAGUGAAAAGAGUGUUUCUUAUGUCUCUAUUAUCUCAGAAAAAGGACACACAGAUUCUUUUUGUGCCAGUACACUUUCAUUUGCCAAAGGCAAGCAGUCUCAUUUUUUUUUUUUUUUUUUGAAAAGGGUAUCAAAGAGAGAAAGGGGGUUUUAUAACAAGCCCGUAGCAGAGAGAGCAGGUCUCGUAGCCUGAAACGUCUUAUGUUUCACUGCCUCUUUUCCUGGUAUCUGACGCUGGGCUGCCCAGCCUCCACGGUAAUUAGGCUGAAAAUCCUUCAGUGCAGGGCCCCUGCAUAAAACACUCUUUGAUGGGGAACUUGAUUUCCUCAAAAAACUUUUUGGCAAAGUUGGCUUAUGCCCAUAUCGGUCAUCCCCACCUCGUUCCUUAUUGGAUUUUGACCUACUGUACCAACACACUUGUGACACCCUGCCCUGUGCUGGUACACAGAAACCAAUUGGACAUGCUCUAUAAAUCAUCGCCAACAUCCUUCUAGUGGAGAAUGGAAAAAAUAAAAUAGGAGACAGGCCUGCAGCCCUGGAAGGAAGGAGGCACAACUGGAAUGUAUUAUGCCAAAGGAACAGGGGAUAUUAAAUACAUAUCAGCAGCUGGAGGUGUUCAGAUACAAGGAGGAAAGGUGUGUGUUGCACUGGAUACAAGUACAAGUUACAACAUAUAGACUGUAUUACACUGACAUAUCUUUCUGAGAUUAUACUAAUCAAUAUUAUUAUGCAUGAUCUCUCACAUGGAUGACAUGCAUUUA